AAAGAAACCCUAACCUUAAGUAUUUUUUCUUUUCUCCCUAUUCUUUCUCUUUUCCUCCCUCUAACGGCGUCCAAUCCUCAGCCAUCGUCUCUCUGUUCCUCCUUCCGACCAGCCAUCAUCUCUCUCUUCCUCCUUCUGGCCAGCCAUCGUCUCUCUCUUCCUCCGCUCCCCAGCGAUGACCAGCCCGAGGGACAGGUAAUUUUUCUUUUCUCCCAAUUUUGUUUCGAUUGUUGUUGCUUCUUUUAGAUUUUCGUCCCAAUUUUGUUUAGGUUGUUGCUGCUUCUUUCAAUGGUUGCAUUUUGUUUGCCUUUUUCUCUAUUAUUUUCUGAAUUAUUUAGAGGAAUUUAAAACACUGAUAGCUCAAGUGUUGGUUAUAAAUCCUGCUUUGAAUGAAGUAGUAGUACUAGUAAGGGGAAAAGAUUCGUGGAGAACAUUAGAAAUCUUGGUUAGAUUCGUGGAGUGCACAUUUGUGUUCUCUCGUUUUUAAUUUUUUUUUCUUUCUAAUUUUCCAGUUUUCUCUCGUGGAGUGCACAUCGUCUCUCUCUUCCUCCUUCCGACCAGCCAUCGAAACUGAAGGAGUCCAAGAAUAGGUACGGUUUUGAAUACUCAAUUAGUUAAAAUGCAUUUAGUCGGUUCAUAUGUCAAACAUGGUCAAACUUUUGAAUCACAUUAAUAUUUACUAUCUAAAUAAUAUAAAUAUAAUCCGUUAACACUUUAUUUUGUAAUACAAAUAAUGAAUACACUAACAUAUACUAUAACAAGCUAUAUAUAGUUAAAAUGCAUUCCUCUCGUCCUCCCCGUGAUCGUUCCUCUAGUCCGACCCGUGAUCGUUCUUCACGUCCUCCACAAGGCCGUUCUCUAUACCGUCUUGUAGAUGAAAGUUCAUCAAAUGGUGAUGAUGUUGUAGAAAACACCCCUUGACCAAUACUUUGAUAUACUUUGAACUAGAGUAACAGAACUAGUUUUGAAUUAGAUUGAACAAUUUUGAACUUGUUGUACGUACUUAGUUUUUGCUUGCUUUUGGAUUGUGAUGUUUAAUUGAACUUUAAUUUGUUAGUUUUAAAGUAUUAAUUGGAUGUUUGGUUGUUGUUGUUGGAUAUUUGGUUGGAUUUGUGGUGAAUUAGGGGUUGUAUGUGAUGAAUUGGUGGUUAUUAGAUGUGAAUUGGGGGUAUUGGUAUGCUGUUUUUAUUUGGCAGGUGGUGUAGCUACCAAAACAGGCAUUUUCUGCCAAAAUUAAUCCCAGAAAACUGACCAACCUUGGUCGGUGACUAAUAAAAAAAAAAUUUAAAUUGUAAAUUACCGACCAAUAUUGGUCGGUUAAUGCACAUUGAAUUUUCAGAAAUUCAACAUUACCGACCAACUUUGGUCGGUAAGUUGUCUGCCCUGUCCAGAUUACCGACCAACGUUGGUCGGUAUUUUUAAAUUUUAAUUAUUUAUAAAAAAAUAUAAAAUUAAUAAAUUUAAAACGCCUACCAACGUUGGUCGGUAAAAUUAAAUUAUUAAAAUAAUAUUCCGACCAAUAUUGGUCGGUAAGUCAAUUAAAUCGUCAGAUGGUCGUGUAGAGCAUACCGACCAAUGUUGGUCGGUAAUUUCCGAUCAACUUUGGUCGGUAUGCUCUUCCGACCUUCAAACUACCGACCACACGUUAAUGGUCGCGUUUUAGAUGGUUAUUGGCCAUUACCGACCGACUUUGAUCGGUUUUUCCGAAUUUGUAGUAGUGUUAGAUUAACCAUAAUAAUAACUAUCUAAACAAAAGUUUCCAACAUGCUUCCUAGAACAAUGUUAUGAUAAACCCAAGUAUCAUAACAUCCACUAAAGACCAUUCACUCAAUAAAUUAAAUAUUCACCUGGCAAGAAAUACACACGAGGAUUUGAAAAAACCAAUAUGUUUAAGGAGUAAAACUCAUAUGUGCAAAUCGAUUUUAUCAACAAAGUAUUCCAAUCCACCUUGCAAAUCAAGACUCAAUAUUCUGCAUGAUAAAGGAAAUACGAAAGGUUGACCAAACAUUCAUUAAGCCCAAGUAUCUCUAGAGCAUGCAUCAAAUUGAACACUCGAUCUUGUGGUAGAGCCAAGCAUAUCCAAAAUCAAGAAAGAGCAUCUCUCCAAAUGAAGUAGCAAUUACUUGGUUCAAAAGAAAACUGUCACGACCCAAAAUCUCACCUGUCGUGGUGGCGCCUAUCUCAAUACUAGGCAAGCCGAUAAUCUUAAUAAACCACCAUAUCUUUUAAGUUUGAAAACAUGAUAAUUAAAUUCAGCGGAAGAAAUCUCACAAAUACAAAUAUAACACUCGCAAAACCCGCUGUCACAGAGUACAUGAGCAUCUAAUAUAAAUACAAUGUCUGACUGAUAAAAACCACUGUCUGAAAGUGUAGAACAGUACAAUAACUGAAGGAAAGAGAGACAAGGUCAGCAGACGCCAGGUAGCUACCCUGAUAGUCUCCAACUGGUAACACACUGAGGUCCAACAGCCGCCGUGUCCGGAAGCACCUGGAACUGCACACAAGGUGCAGAGUGUAGUAUGAGUACAACCAACUCAAUAAGUAACAAAACUAACCUCUGGGCUGAAAGUAGUGACGAUCUCCGCAGGUACAGUCUGGUAUAAAUAAUGGUACAAAAAUGUAGGCAUGCUUUCAAGUUCAACAGUAAAAUUCAGUACAAGUGAAAUAGAUCAAUAUUGCAUGAUAUGAGGAAUAUGACAUCUCAGUAAAAAGACCUCAUGUAAAUACUGGUCACAAAUUAUUCGGUCACUCGGUAUAGUUUAUGGCCAAUCCAGCUCAGGGGUGUUCCAACCCGUAUGUAAAUACACAUCGACUAACAGUCAGUCACUCAGUACCGUAUAAGGCCAAUCCAGCCCUGGGAUAAUUUUAUCCCCAAAUAUAACUGAUACGGACAAGAUCCAUGUCCAGGUAAACUCAUUACAAUACAAAUAAGUAAGGCAAGUCCAUGCCCUGGGAAAUCCAUCCCGAAUAUAUAUAAUCAUCUAAGUAAGGCAAGCCCAUGCCCUGGGAAGUUCAUCCCGAAUAUAUAUAAUCAUCUACGCUCACUGGGGGUGUACAGACUCCGGAGGGGCUCCUUCAGCCCAAGCGCUAUAUAAAGCCAAUAUGGCCUACUGCAGGCGGGCAGUCCUGAUACGUAUAAUAGUAAAGCCUAUAAGGCCUGCUGCAGGUGGGCAACCCCGAUCCAUAAAACAGUAAAGCCUAUAAGGCCUGCUGCAGGUGGGUAGCCCCGAUCCAUAUAAUAGUAAUGUAUAAAGCCAUUAUGGCCUGCUGCGUCGCGCAGCUCAAUCCCAUAAAUAUCCUCACAAUGGAUAAAUAUUACUGAGUGUGAAAUGUAUAUUUUUGAACAAUUAAUUCAACAGCAACACGACCCCAUGGGUCCCAAAAUAUUGGUAUGUAGCCUAAACAUGAUCUUUAAUAGGAGCCUCAGCUCAAUUUCUCUAACACGUGGAGAAUGUUCAGAUAAUAACAUGAUUCAUUAAUCUUACAACUGUACAGGAUUUAUUCAAGACACAAUUUAUAUGGUGCACGUCCACAUGCUCGUCACCUAUAGUGUGUGUCACCUCCAAACAAUUUAUAUCAUACCAAAUUCAGGGAUUCAUACCCUCAGAACCAAGUUUAGAAGUGUUACUUACCUCAAACCGUGUAAUUCUUUACUCCGAUAUGCCUUUGCCUUGUGAAUUGGCCUCCAAACCCCUCGAAUCUAGCCACAAUUAAUUCGAUUCAGUCAAUAAAAUUUAUUGAAAUUAAUUCCAUAAGAAAAUACUAAUUUUCCAUAAAAAUCUGAAAAUUAUCUCAAAAAUCGCCUGUAGGGCCCACAUCUCGGAACUCGACAAAAGUUACAAAAUCCGAAAGCCCAUUCAACCACGAGUCUAACCAUACCAAUUUUACCAAAAUCCGACCUCAACUCAACUAUCAAAUCUUCAAUUUAAACUAAAAGGGUUUUCUAAAUGUUUCAACUUAAUUCACCCAUUAAAUGAUGGAUUCAAAGACAUAAUCAUGAAAAUUAAUCAAAACUGGAUAAGAAUCACUUACCCCAAACACCCACGCAAGAAUCUCUUCAAAAAUCGCCUUCUACCGAGCUCCCAAUUUGAUUUUGUGUUAUGAACUCAAAACCUCCGUUUUGGAACUUUUAAUUCUGCCCAGAAAUUCCUGCAUCGCAUUCGCGAAGCACAAAAAAAUGUGCUGCCAAGAUUCCUUCUUCGCGUUCGCGAUAUCCUCAUCGCGUUCGCGAUGCCUUCAGACCUCUGCCCUUCGCGUUUGCGAGACACGAGAUGCGUUCGCGAAGGCUUAAUUCCAGGCAGGCCCCUAACUCCCUUUCCUCUUCGCGUUUGCGUCUGCCCACUCGCGUUCGCGUAGGCUUUCCCCAGUUCCCUUCUUCGCGUUCGCGUCUUCUUCAUCGCGUUCGCGAUGGGCAAAUCUCAGUCUUCAGAAAUCCUUCUUCGCGAACGCGUGAGACCCUUCGCGUUCGCGAGGAACAAUACCAUAUAUCAGUUCCAGCAAUUGCAAAACAAGGAAAAAUGAUCUGAAACCGUCCCAGAACUCACCCGAGGCCCCUGGGACCUCAACUAAAUAUACCAACAAGUCCUAAAACAUCAUACGAACUUAGUCGAACCCUCAAAUCACUUCAAAUAAUGCUAAAACUCUAAAUUACACCCCAAUUCAAGCCUAAUGAACUUUGAAAUUUCUAAUUUCUACAAACGACGCCGGAACCUAUCAAAUCAUGUCCGAUUGACCUCAAAUUUUACACACAAGUCAUAAAUGACAUAACGGAGGUAUUCAAAUUUUGAGAAUUGGAUUCUGACCCCGAUAUAAAAAAGUCGACCCCUGGUCAAACUUUUCAAAAAUUCAAAUUCGGCAUUUCAAGCCUAAUUCCACUACGAACCUCCAAUUAAUUUUUCGGACACGUUCCUAAGUCCAAAAUCACCAUACGGAGCUAUUGGAAUCAUCCGAAUUCAAUUCCGAGGUCGUUUACUUAUAAGUUAAUAUCCGGUUAACUUUUCCAACUUAAGUUUUCAUUUAUGAGACUAAGUGUCUCAUUUCACUCCGAAAUCCUUCCGGGCCCGAACCAACUAAUCCGAUAAGUCAUAAAUCAAUUGUAAGGCAUAAAUUGAGCAGUAAAUAGGGGAACGGAGAUGAAAUACUCAAAACGAUCAGUCGGGUCGUUAUAUUCUCCCCCACUUAAACAUGCGUUCGUCCUCGAACGUGUCAAGAGUUGUUUCCAAGCCACCAAAUCACUAUUCCAUCUUACCACGCACGUACCCGGGGUGAUCCCAUGUUAUCAUAUUCUGUGUAAAUUGUAUAGGCCUGACAACACAACAUAAUUGAAAAUCAUUACUUCAAUCUUAGCCCAUAAACCUUGGAAUUCAAUUUCCAACAUUCAGAAUUUCUUUUCAAGACCUGAAUCUCACAUCAACACACUGUAUGAGUCUGAACAAGCUGUACCAUGCCAUAACCCUAGCCCCAGAUAUAAUCACUUAACAUACUACACAACUUGCAUACUUGCAGCACCAUUUUCGAUCAUAUUAACUACUCCAAAGUAACCCGGUAAUAGUAUUAAACCCCAUAUCAAACAAAACCUAGUUCUAAAACCUUCGUACACUGCUAAUAAUGAAAGAAACACGAGAAAUCUCAUAACAUCUUAUCAGAUCGACAAGUCAUGGAGCUCUCCCGCCCCAACCAGAACCAUAAUCACUUUCUAAGUCGACCUUCAAUAAUAUCCUCCCUAUAUACCGUAAUGAAACCUGAUAGUAUCCAUUCUAGGUCCAAUAACCUUAUAUUAUUAAACACAACUAUCCCAUUGACAUGCCACACCAAUACAACUCAAUCCAUAACUGCGCAACCUUGUACCCAUAAUGGAAGAUGUCUCAAAGUAGAGAAUCGUAUUGUAAGUUCAACAAGCACCACCACAACUGUAAUGCUAUAAGCUCAUUAUAUAUAGUAGAACCAAGACACACAAAUUUAAUAACAGUAACCAACUCUUUUAGAGCUCACAUUAACAUCACUCGCACGGACAACUCACGUGCUAUAGUAUCAAUAUCUGAACCCGCACGGAGAACUUACGUGCCAAUAAUAUCAAUAAUUUGAAUAUCAACAGUCUAUCAACCAGGAGAGUACCGUAAUACCAAUGCACAUCCGUAAAUCAAAACACAAUGUCCCUUUCAACCGCACACCCUUAUCAGGGAUUACCGAGCAACUAUAACAUUCAUCUAAAUAUAUAACACUAACCAUUCCGUCCAGAAUUUGUGAUCUUCCUUUCAAGAAUGAACUGCCACCUCGCGCAUAUAAAUCUAAAUCCCGCACAACACACCACAUCUAUCACGUGAAAAGCACAAGAAUCUCAUUAUAAACUCUGAGUCACCAGCAAAUUACAUACCCUAUUAGUUGGAAACUUUUCUCUUGCUUCUUUCCCGGAGGAAAUCACAAUGCACAACACGUUCCCCACACCGGUAGAAAAUAUCUUGUUCCAACCAUGGUAGAAACCAUUAAGAACACUUUGAAAUCCAUUUUCACCAAAUCAAGCUAUCAGAACUAAUUUCUUCUAUCUCAUCCAAGCCACGCUGGUCACCAAAACCCAAAAAUACUGCCAUCAAAACAUCUAUAAAGCCUCCACAUCAUUAUUACCCAAAAGAACUGAGCAUGCCAUUACCAUACUGGUCUAGCCUACAACCCAGUGGUCCUAUUUUCUUGGAGGUUCUCCUGAAUUACCCUCAAGUUGACAUUUCUCCUUAUCAGAACACUACUACCCUUAUCCAAAGCUCACUAUAAGACAUCCCAACAUAAAACUACACCGUUCUAAGGUCCAUAAGUCAUCGUAUUCUUCUUAAGCACCACAAAAGUACCACAACCGUAACACUCACUCUGAAAAUACCUUAUAUGAAUUUAAAAUUGUUCUUUUUCCCUUCUUAUACUGGAAUGUGGAAUCCAUAGUCAUACAGAAUUACUGCAAGUCCCGUACCAUCUAGUGUAAUAACCAAUUCUGGCGAUAUACAAAUUCCGAAAAAUUUUCAAUUGACACAUAUACAUUUUGAAUCCAUUAUAUCCCUUUCGAAAGUCACCCACUAUGCUCAAAUCUAAAUUGCACCGUCCGAAAGAGCCACAAGACAUAAGCCCCCAUUAGCACAACAACCCCCAAAGAGUAACCCUAUCUUAACACCACCAAUCAAAUUCAUACUCUGUGCGUACUACAUCCUUCAAAAUAACAAUUUAAUCAUCUCAUGAUUUUUUUCCCAUAAAGUGCAAUAUAACCCGCAUUCAAGAAAUUUUCUUACUCAAGUCAUCCUCGAUCUCAACCUCUGCAAGUCAUAACUAAUCCACAAGUGUACCUCGGAACGAAACCAAUACAGUACAUAAUCGCGCAAUCAAAUCGUAGAUAGCAGACUCCCCCACUUGGUCCAAAUCCAUAUAACAAAAUAUCUGAUAUCUCACCAUACCCAGAUAAUAUCCAAAUUGACCAUACUAAGCAAUAAAAGAUCAACUCUGGUUUCGUCCCCCAAUAAUUUCCACACACGACCGAUACACCCGGUACACAAUUAUAGUAUCGCCCACCGGUGUAGAUACAUGAACAGGUGAAACUAAGGACUCACGAGACAUAUCCAGAAAAUGAACAAAAUAUGAUGAAACAUACGAAUAUGUGGAACCAGGGUCAAAUAAUAUAGAUGCCUCCCUGUAGCACACUGAGACAAUACAUGUGAUCUCUACAUCUGAAGCAACAACAUCUGGUCUGGCAGGAAAAGCAUAGAAUCGGCCCUGACCGCCACUGGAUCGGCCUCCCUCUCUUGGGCGACCUCUAGCUGAUUGAGUCCCACCCCGAGCUGGCUGAGCGGGUGGUGGAGCAACUGAUGCAGAUGUAGUAGCCUGACUCCUCUGUUGAAAUGGACCUCGCGUAUGGCGGGGGCAAUAUUUCCUCACAUGGCCCAGCUCUCCACACUCAUGGCACUCCAUCUCGAAGAAUGAUGGUGAGUUCUGAGGCGGACCUCGGGAACCAGAAUAACUACCAGAAGGACCUGUUACAUAUGAUCCCUAAAUUGAUGGUGCACGGAGCGUACUCGAGGCUGGAAGGGCAUUGAGAGCUGACUUACUCUGAUGAGAACUGUAUGAACCACGGCUGGAUGAUGCACCACGGUGAACUGGACGACCCCUGUUGUGGUAGAACUGCCCUCCAGAAGGUACCCCACCAAAACUGCCCGAACCUCGAGGCCUCUUAGCCUCCCUGUCACCACGCUCCUGGCUACGGACCAUCUCUAUCUGUCGAGCAAUGUCAACCACCUCGUCAAAAGUGGCACCGGAUACCCUCUCCCUAGUCAUAAGUAACCGCAGUUGAUACGUGAGGCCAUCAAUGAACCUCCUAAUCCUCUCCCUAUCAGUGGACACCAACCAAACUACGUGACGAGCCAACUCAGAAAAUCUCAUCUCGUAAUGCAUCACGGACAUGCCAUCUUGACGUAACUGCUCAAACUGUCUGUGCAGCUCCUCUCUACGAGACUGUGGCACAAACUUCUCUAAAAAGAGAAUGGAGAACUCCCGCCAUAUAAGUGGUACUGCACCAAUCGGCAUGCGCCUCUCAUAAGCCUUCCACCUUCUGAAGGCAACCCCAAAAAACUAAAAAGUAGUGAACGAGACUCCACUGGUCUCUAGAAUACCUGUUGUCCGAAGCAUCCACUGGCACUUAUCCAGAAAACCCUGAGUAUCCUCUGACUCAGCACCGCUAAAUGAUGGAGGUCGAAGCCUCCAAAAUCUCUCAAGUCUUCUCUGCUCAUCAUCUGCCUUAACAGGGAUUACCGGGGCCUGAGCGACUGCAACUGGCUGGGCUGGUAGUGCCCCCGGUAUCUGAAGUCCCUGUACUACCUGGUCUGGAGUACGGGCAACAGGGGUAUGAGUACCUCCCCCGGCCUGAGAAGUGGCAGGUGCGGCCUGAGCCGAAACCUCCUGAGCAAGGCCAGUACAAACUCUCAAUAUAUGGGCUAGAGCCUCCUGAAGGCCUGGAAUCACAAUAGGUGUAGCUGGUGCCUGAGCUGGUCCCGCCGGCUCAACUGUAUCCGAAAUAUGCUCCUGAACUGGAGCAACUGGUGGUACUACAGGUGCUGCUUCAACUGCUGCACGAGCUAUACCUCGACCUCUACCUCGGCCACGACCUCUACCACGGCCCCGGCCUCUCGCGUCCCUAACUGGUGGCACUAGUGGCUGACCGUCCAAUCCAGUAAUACGUGUCCUCACCAUAUGUGAGAGAAUAGAAUAACAGGACUUUUAGUUUCCGGAAUCAACAAGUUCGCAUGACUGAAUACAAUAAAGUAAAAUUUUCUAAGGGUCCGGCAGCCUCUCGUAGAUAAGUACAGACGUCUCUGCACCGAUCCGCAAGACCCUACUAAACCUUCUCAUGACUCGUGAGACCUAUGUAACCUAGGCUUUGAUACCAACUUGUCACGACCCAAAAUCUCACCUGUCGUGAUGGCGCCUAUCUCAAUACUAGGCAAGCCGACAAUCUCAAUAAACCACCAUAUCUUUUAAGUUUGAAAACAUGAUAAUUAAAUUCAGCGGAAGAAAUCUCACAAAUACAAAUAUAACACUCUCAAAACCCGGUGUCACUGAGUACAGGAGCAUCUAAUAUGAAUACAAUGUCUGACUGAUAAAAAUCACUGUCUGAAAGUAUAGAACAGUACAAUAACUGAAGGAAAGAGAGACAAAGUCAGCGGACGCCAGGCAGCUACCCUGAUAGUCUCCAACUGGUAACAUACUAAGGUCUAAUAGCCGCCGUGUCCGGAAGCACCUGGAUCUGCACACAAGGUACAGAGUGUAGUAUGAGUACAACCAACUCAAUAAGUAACAAGACUAACCUCUGGGCUGAAAGUAGUGACGAGCUCCGCAGGGACAGUCCAGUAUAAAUAAUGGUACUAAAAUGUAGACAUGCUUUCAAGUGCAACAGUAAAACUCAGUACAAGUGAAAUAGAUCAAUACUGCAUGAUAUGAGGAAUAUGACAUCUCAGUAGAAAGACCUCAUGUAAAUACUGGUCACAAAUUACUCGGUCACUCGGUACUGUUUAUGGCCAAUCCAGCCCAGGGGUGUUCCAACCCGUAUGUAAAUACACAUCGACUAACAGUCAGUCACUCAAUACCGUAUAAGGCCAAUCCAGCCCUGGGAUAAUUUUAUCCCCAAAUAUAAUUGAUACGGACAAGAUCCAUGUCCAGGUAAACUCAUUAUAAUACAAAUAAGUAAGGCAAGUCCAUGCCCUGGGAAAUCCAUCCCGAAUAUAUAUAAUCAUCUAAGUAAGGCAAGUCCAUGCCCUUGGAAGUCCAUCCCGAAUAUAUAUAAUCAUCUACGCUCACUAGGGGUGUACAGACUCCGGAGGGGCUCCAUCAGCCCAAACGCUAUAUAAAGCCAAUAUGGCCUACUGCAAGCGGGCAGUCCCGAUCCGUAUAAUAAUAAAGCCUAAAGGUCUGCUACAGGCGGGCAUCCCUGAUUCAUAAAAUAGUAAAGCCUAUAAGGCCUGCUGCAGGCGGGUAGUCCCGGUCCAUAUAAUAAUAAUGUAUAAAGUUAUUAUGGCCUGCUGCGUCGCGCAGCUCAAUCCCAUAAAUAUCCUCACAAUGGACAAAUAUUACUGAGUGUGAAAUAUAUACUUUUGAACAAUUAAUUCAACAGCAACACGACCCCAUGGGUCCCAAAAUAUUGGCACGUAGCCUAAACAUGAUCUUUAGUAGGAGCCUCAGCUCAAUUUCUCUAACACGUGGAGAAUGUUCAGAUAAUAAUAUGAUUCAUUAAUCUUACAACUGCACAGGAUUUAUUCAAGGCACAAUUUAUAUGGUGCACGUCCACAUGCUCGUCACCUAUCAUGUGUGUCACCUCCAAACAAUUUAUAUCAUACCAAAUUCGGGGAUUCAUACCCUCAGAACCAAGUUUAGAAGUGUUACUUACCUCAAACCGUGUAAUUCUUUACUCCGGUAUGCCUUUGCCUCGUGAAUUGGCCUCCAAACCCCUCGAAUCUAGUCACAAUUAAUUCGAUUCAGUCAAUAAAAUUUAUUGGAAUUAAUUCCAUAAGAAAAUACUAAUUUUCCAUAAAAAUUCGAAAAUUAGCUCAAAAAUUGCUUGUGGGACCCACGUCUCGGAACUCGAUAAAAGUUAUAAAAUCCGAAAGCCCAUUCAACCACGAGUCUAACCAUACCAAUUUUACCAAAAUCCGACCUCAACUCGACCCAAAAAUCUUCAAUUUAAACCAAGAGGGUUUUCUAAAUGUUUCAACUUAAUUCACCCAUUAAAUGAUGGAUUCAAAGACAUAAUCAUGGAAAUUAAUCAAAACUCGAUAAAAAUCACUUACCCCAAACACCCACGCAAGAAUCUCUCCAAAAAUCGCCUUCUACCGAGCUCCCAAUUUGAUUCCCCGUUUUGGAACUUUUAAUUCUGCCCAGAAUUUCCUUCAUCGCGUUCGCGACCAUAGAUUCGCGUUCGCGAAGCACAAAAAAAAUGUCCUGCCAAGAUUCCUUCGCGUUCGCGAUAUCCUCAUUGCGUUCCCGAUGCCUUCCGAUCUCUGCCCUUCGCGUUCGCGAGACACGAGACGUGUUCGCGAAGGCUUAACGCCAGGUAGGCCCCCAACUCCCUUUCCUCUUCGCGUGUGCAUCUGUCCACUCACGUUCGCGUAGGCUUUCCCCAGCUCCCUUCUUCGCGUUCGCGUCUUCUUCAUCGCGUUCGCGAUGGGCAAAUCUCAACCGUCCAAAAUCCUCCUUCACGAACGUGUGAGACCCUUCGUGUUCACGAAGAACAAUACCAGAUAUGAGUUCCAGCAGUUGCAAAACAAGGAAAAAUGAUCCGAAACCGUCUCGGAACUCACCCGAGGCCCCCGGGACCUCAACCAAAUAUACCAACAAGUCCUAAAACAUUAGAUGAACUUAGUUGAACCCUCAAAUCGCCUCAAACAAUGCUAAAACCAUGAAUUACACCCCAAUUCAAGCCUAAUGAACUUUGAAAUUUCUAAUUUCUACAAACGACGCCGGAAUCUAUCAAAUCAUGUCCGAUUGACCUCAAAUUUUGUACACAAGUCAUAAAUGACAUAACAGAGGUAUUCAAAUUUUGAGAAUCGGAUUCCGACCCUGAUAUCAAAAAUUCAACUUUCGGCAUUUCAAGCCUAAUUCCAUUACGAACCUUCAAUUAAUUUUUCGAACACGCUCCUAAGUCCAAAAUCACCAUACGGAGCUAUUGGAAUUAUCAGAAUUCAAUUCCGAGGUCGUUUACUCAUAAGUCAAUAUCCGGUCAACUUUUUCAACUUAAGUUUUCAAUUAUGAGACUAAGUGUUUCAUUUCACUCCGAAAUCCUUCCGGGUCCGAACCAACUAACCGAUAAGUCAUAAAUCAAUUUUAAGGCAUAAAUUGAACAGUAAAUAGGGGAACGAGGAUGAAAUACCCAAAAUAACCGGCCGGGUCGUUACAAAAACCAUUAAACUAAUAGAUCUAAAUAUUAACGGCUAACUAAUUAAUAUUUUUUUUUCAUUCAACCCUUCUGAAUUGCACAUAUACUUCAGUUGGAAAUCAAUUACACAAGAAGUUAAGAGUACAUUAUACAAGGCAAAAAGUUAAGAUCCUUGAAAUAGCAAAUAUCUUUCAUUCACCAAGUGAGGUUUUUUCCCGGUAAAUGCAGAUGUCUACAAUAUGUUUUAGGAGCUAAUACAACUAUCACUAUUAAAUGCUUAGCUGAUGAAACCUUUAUGGGUUUAACCUAGCUAGAAUAUCCAAAUAAUUCCUCCAUGGUCCACCAUAUAGCUUUAAAUUCUGCAAGCAACCAGUUGAUUAUCGAAAAUACUUACGAAUCUACAAAACUAUACACAUAGGGUGUAAAAUAAAUUACUCAGUCAAUUCAGACUCUAAUGCAUUGUCUGUGAGCAUAAAGUAUCGGCAAUACCUGUAUCGGCCAGAGGCAUUAUCUCAAAACAUCUCAUAGUUCACGUAGAAUGAUACAACAAUGGGCACCACAUAGGGUUCAGUCUCUUUCAUGUCCCUCCUCCCCCUGCAUAUUAUUCUCAUUGUCAUCCUCAAUCCCUUCAUACGACCCUAUUCCUUCACCCACAAAAGAAAUUCAAGUGAAAAUUUUUUAAGUGGUUUAUAGUCCCAUUCGUAAAGCCAUAUAAUUUUGCAUUCAGUUGAAGAUUAAUUACUUUAUUGUGUCUUGGUACUUUAUUUCGUUUCCCAAGCACAGUCCUUCCCCGUUGAUUCUCUAGAUCAUUCUGAAAAAUUCAGUAAAUCUUUCAUCUUUUCUUUUCUAUUAAAUAUGUGAAAAACUAUAAAGUGUGGCAAGAGAAUGAUAUGAAUUACCAGAUUUCGGAAUCAAAAAGAAUGAACAAAAAACUUCAGAGUAAUAUUGCACAAAAGAGAAGUACGGUGUAUGUUCUACCAUGUCUCUAACCGCCACCCUCAAUAGCCACCAACGCGAAUAUAACCCAUACCCUAUAUUGAUUAUCGAAACACCAUUAUAUAAUGGCUUAGAGUAACGAUCAAGUACACUAUGGAAUGGUUGCAACUGUUAAUAUUGCAUAUUAAAAGCACAAACAAUUAUGUAUAUGCUUUAAUCAUCUAUAGAUGGAAACUUUUUAGUUUUUGUAACUGAUGAACCAAACAUACAACCAAGAGAUCAUGCAUAAUAGUAUGGUAACAUGAUCUAUGAUACAAUAACAGUGUAAUUUAGAACUUACGGUGCAAAUGUAUGAAGAUACCAUGCUUUUUGUAGAAAAAGACAGACUUUUGCUUUUUCUUUUUUAAUAAGAUAAAUAAAGAUAAAGACACAUACUUUCAAUACAUUAAGUGAUGAAUUGAAUAUAACGACUACAGAUCAUGCAGAACACUAUAUUAACUUCAGCUUUAAUGGAGAACAUUGUUACCCAGGAUAUACAGUGAAAAGAAAUAAAGAACAGUGCAGUAAUGUAACGACCCGAUCGAUCGUUUUACUUUGUCUAUCCAUGUUCCCCUAAUUAAGACUCGCCGUAUGUUCUUUUACUAUUUUAUGACUUACGGGGAUGGUUGGUUUGGGUUUGAAAGGGUUCAGGUUGAAAUCAGAACACUUAAUUCCUUAAUAGUGGCCUAAGAUGGCCAAGUUUGACUUGAGUCAACAUUUUGAGUAAAUGACCUCGGAACCGGGAUUUGAUGGUUCCAAUAGCUUCGUAUGAUAAUGUUGGACUUGGACGUACGUUCGGAUCGAGUUCUGGGUGAUCUGGGACCAUUUCGAUGCCUAAUGUUGAAAGUUGGCGCAUUGAAGGUUUUCUAGUUCUUUGAAUUUGGUUUGAAGUAGACUUCAUUGUUAUCGAGGCCUGUUUGGGAUUUCGAGCCUAGGAAUAGGUACAUAUGGUGAAUUAUGACUUGUACGCAAAAUUUGGUAUCAUUCCGAGUUGUCUAAGUAAGAUUCGACUCUUUCGGAGCUAAUUGAAAAGUUCGAAGUUCAUAAGUUGAUUUAAUUUGGUUUUGGGGUGUGAUUCUUAGUUUCGAUGUUAUUUUAAGUAUUUCGAGAGUUCGAUCAGGUCCGUAUUAUGUUUAUGGACUUAUUGGUGAAGCUGGACAGGGUCUCGAGUGGCUCGAGUGAAUUUCGGACCACCCGGAGCUAACUCUGAAAUUCUGCUGCUGAUGGUUCUGGUUUCCUUCUUCGCAAACACGGAGGUGGAGUCGCGUUCACGGAGAAGGAAUUGGGGGACUAGACAUUUUGCUCUUCGCGUUCGCAAUCCACAGGUCACGUUCGUGAAGGUCUGGGACAUGUGGCAUUCGCGUUCCCGUGAGUGCGCCCGCGUUCGCGUAGAGGAAAGGGGCCUAGGAGGGGUCAACAACCAUUACCCUUCGUGUUCGUGAAGGUAUCAUCGUGUUUGCGAUGCUCAGGCGGGGCAAGCCUUCGCGAUCGCGAUACCGCUCUCGCGUUCACAAUGAAGAUUUUCAGGGCCUGGACAAGAUUUGCCUUCGCGAUUGCGAGGCCCUUUUCGCUAUCGCGAAGAAGGGUCAACUGGGCAGAACCUUGUUUUAAAUCAGGACUUAGGCUUAUUUUCUCUCAUUUCACUUUGGGUUAGCCGAUUUUGGAGCUCUUGGAGAUGGGUUUUACACCUAGCAUUGUAAGGUAAGUAAUUACUACUUAAUAUGAGUUUAAUACACGGAUUAUGAGUAGAUUUUAACAUGUAGAUUGUGGAAAUUAUACGAUUUUGUUGAAAACCCUAGGUUUUGAUAAAAAUGGGAUUAGACCACAAAAAUGAUUAUGGAAUUGGAUAGAAAUUAUAUAUUUGUGUUCGUGAGGUUAUAUGGG
rnacentral:lncRNA from 1 species